UUAAGCGACUAAGCGUACACGGUGGAUGCCCUGGCAGUCAGAGGCGAUGAAGGACGUGCUAAUCUGCGAUAAGCGUCGGUAAGGUGAUAUGAACCGUUAUAACCGGCGAUUUCCGAAUGGGGAAACCCAGUGUGAUUUGUCACACUAUCAUUAACUGAAUCCAUAGGUUAAUGAGGCGAACCGGGGGAACUGAAACAUCUAAGUACCCCGAGGAAAAGAAAUCAACCGAGAUUCCCCCAGUAGCGGCGAGCGAACGGGGAGGAGCCCAGAGCCUGAAUCAGUGUGUGUGUUAGUGGAAGCGUCUGGAAAGGCGCGCGAUACAGGGUGACAGCCCCGUACACAAAAAUGCACAUGCUGUGAGCUCGAUGAGUAGGGCGGGACACGUGGUAUCCUGUCUGAAUAUGGGGGGACCAUCCUCCAAGGCUAAAUACUCCUGACUGACCGAUAGUGAACCAGUACCGUGAGGGAAAGGCGAAAAGAACCCCGGCGAGGGGAGUGAAAAAGAACCUGAAACCGUGUACGUACAAGCAGUGGGAGCACGCUUCGGCGUGUGACUGCGUACCUUUUGUAUAAUGGGUCAGCGACUUAUAUUCUGUAGCAAGGUUAACCGAAUAGGGGAGCCGAAGGGAAACCGAGUCUUAACUGGGCGUUAAGUUGCAGGGUAUAGACCCGAAACCCGGUGAUCUAGCCAUGGGCAGGUUGAAGGUUGGGUAACACUAACUGGAGGACCGAACCGACUAAUGUUGAAAAAUUAGCGGAUGACUUGUGGCUGGGGGUGAAAGGCCAAUCAAACCGGGAGAUAGCUGGUUCUCCCCGAAAGCUAUUUAGGUAGCGCCUCGUGAAUUCAUCUCCGGGGGUAGAGCACUGUUUCGGCAAGGGGGUCAUCCCGACUUACCAACCCGAUGCAAACUGCGAAUACCGGAGAAUGUUAUCACGGGAGACACACGGCGGGUGCUAACGUCCGUCGUGAAGAGGGAAACAACCCAGACCGCCAGCUAAGGUCCCAAAGUCAUGGUUAAGUGGGAAACGAUGUGGGAAGGCCCAGACAGCCAGGAUGUUGGCUUAGAAGCAGCCAUCAUUUAAAGAAAGCGUAAUAGCUCACUGGUCGAGUCGGCCUGCGCGGAAGAUGUAACGGGGCUAAACCAUGCACCGAAGCUGCGGCAGCGACACUAUGUGUUGUUGGGUAGGGGAGCGUUCUGUAAGCCUGUGAAGGUGGCCUGUGAGGGUUGCUGGAGGUAUCAGAAGUGCGAAUGCUGACAUAAGUAACGAUAAAGCGGGUGAAAAGCCCGCUCGCCGGAAGACCAAGGGUUCCUGUCCAACGUUAAUCGGGGCAGGGUGAGUCGACCCCUAAGGCGAGGCCGAAAGGCGUAGUCGAUGGGAAACAGGUUAAUAUUCCUGUACUUGGUGUUACUGCGAAGGGGGGACGGAGAAGGCUAUGUUGGCCGGGCGACGGUUGUCCCGGUUUAAGCGUGUAGGCUGAUUUUCCAGGCAAAUCCGGAAAAUCAAGGCUGAGGCGUGAUGACGAGGCACUACGGUGCUGAAGCAACAAAUGCCCUGCUUCCAGGAAAAGCCUCUAAGCAUCAGGUAACAUCAAAUCGUACCCCAAACCGACACAGGUGGUCAGGUAGAGAAUACCAAGGCGCUUGAGAGAACUCGGGUGAAGGAACUAGGCAAAAUGGUGCCGUAACUUCGGGAGAAGGCACGCUGAUAUGUAGGUGAAGCGACUUGCUCGUGGAGCUGAAAUCAGUCGAAGAUACCAGCUGGCUGCAACUGUUUAUUAAAAACACAGCACUGUGCAAACACGAAAGUGGACGUAUACGGUGUGACGCCUGCCCGGUGCCGGAAGGUUAAUUGAUGGGGUUAGCGGUAACGCGAAGCUCUUGAUCGAAGCCCCGGUAAACGGCGGCCGUAACUAUAACGGUCCUAAGGUAGCGAAAUUCCUUGUCGGGUAAGUUCCGACCUGCACGAAUGGCGUAAUGAUGGCCAGGCUGUCUCCACCCGAGACUCAGUGAAAUUGAACUCGCUGUGAAGAUGCAGUGUACCCGCGGCAAGACGGAAAGACCCCGUGAACCUUUACUAUAGCUUGACACUGAACAUUGAGCCUUGAUGUGUAGGAUAGGUGGGAGGCUUUGAAGUGUGGACGCCAGUCUGCAUGGAGCCGACCUUGAAAUACCACCCUUUAAUGUUUGAUGUUCUAACGUUGACCCGUGAUCCGGGUUGCGGACAGUGUCUGGUGGGUAGUUUGACUGGGGCGGUCUCCUCCUAAAGAGUAACGGAGGAGCACGAAGGUUGGCUAAUCCUGGUCGGACAUCAGGAGGUUAGUGCAAUGGCAUAAGCCAGCUUGACUGCGAGCGUGACGGCGCGAGCAGGUGCGAAAGCAGGUCAUAGUGAUCCGGUGGUUCUGAAUGGAAGGGCCAUCGCUCAACGGAUAAAAGGUACUCCGGGGAUAACAGGCUGAUACCGCCCAAGAGUUCAUAUCGACGGCGGUGUUUGGCACCUCGAUGUCGGCUCAUCACAUCCUGGGGCUGAAGUAGGUCCCAAGGGUAUGGCUGUUCGCCAUUUAAAGUGGUACGCGAGCUGGGUUUAGAACGUCGUGAGACAGUUCGGUCCCUAUCUGCCGUGGGCGCUGGAGAACUGAGGGGGGCUGCUCCUAGUACGAGAGGACCGGAGUGGACGCAUCACUGGUGUUCGGGUUGUCAUGCCAAUGGCACUGCCCGGUAGCUAAAUGCGGAAGAGAUAAGUGCUGAAAGCAUCUAAGCACGAAACUUGCCCCGAGAUGAGUUCUCCCUGACUCCCUGAGAGUCCUGAAGGAACGUUGAAGACGACGACGUUGAUAGGCCGGGUGUGUAAGCGCAGCGAUGCGUUGAGCUAACCGGUACUAAUGAACCGUGAGGCUUAACCUU
rnacentral:rRNA from 1 species